AGAGUUUGAUCAUGGCUCAGAUUGAACGCUGGCGGCAGGCCUAACACAUGCAAGUCGAACGGUAACAGGAAGCAGCUUGCUGCUUCGCUGACGAGUGGCGGACGGGUGAGUAAUGUCUGGGAAACUGCCUGAUGGAGGGGGGAUAACUACUGGAAACGGUGGCUAAUACCGCAUAACGUCGCAAGACCAAAGAGGGGGACCUUCGGGCCUCUUGCCAUCAGAUGUGCCCAGAUGGGAUUAGCUGGUUGGUGAGGUAACGGCUCACCAAGGCGACGAUCCCUAGCUGGUCUGAGAGGAUGACCAGCCACACUGGAACUGAGACACGGUCCAGACUCCUACGGGAGGCAGCAGUGGGGAAUAUUGCACAAUGGGCGCAAGCCUGAUGCAGCCAUGCCGCGUGUAUGAAGAAGGCCUUCGGGUUGUAAAGUACUUUCAGCGGGGAGGAAGGUGUUGUGGUUAAUAACCACAGCAAUUGACGUUACCCGCAGAAGAAGCACCGGCUAACUCCGUGCCAGCAGCCGCGGUAAUACGGAGGGUGCAAGCGUUAAUCGGAAUUACUGGGCGUAAAGCGCACGCAGGCGGUCUGUCAAGUCGGAUGUGAAAUCCCCGGGCUCAACCUGGGAACUGCAUUCGAAACUGGCAGGCUUGAGUCUUGUAGAGGGGGGUAGAAUUCCAGGUGUAGCGGUGAAAUGCGUAGAGAUCUGGAGGAAUACCGGUGGCGAAGGCGGCCCCCUGGACAAAGACUGACGCUCAGGUGCGAAAGCGUGGGGAGCAAACAGGAUUAGAUACCCUGGUAGUCCACGCCGUAAACGAUGUCUACUUGGAGGUUGUGCCCUUGAGGCGUGGCUUCCGGAGCUAACGCGUUAAGUAGACCGCCUGGGGGAGUACGGCCGCAAGGUUAAAACUCAAAUGAAUUGACGGGGGCCCGCACAAGCGGUGGAGCAUGUGGUUUAAUUCGAUGCAACGCGAAGAACCUUACCUGGUCUUGACAUCCACAGAACUUUCCAGAGAUGGACUGGUGCCUUCGGGAACUGUGAGACAGGUGCUGCAUGGCUGUCGUCAGCUCGUGUUGUGAAAUGUUGGGUUAAGUCCCGCAACGAGCGCAACCCUUAUCCUUUGUUGCCAGCGGUUAGGCCGGGAACUCAAAGGAGACUGCCAGUGAUAAACUGGAGGAAGGUGGGGAUGACGUCAAGUCAUCAUGGCCCUUACGACCAGGGCUACACACGUGCUACAAUGGCGCAUACAAAGAGAAGCGACCUCGCGAGAGCAAGCGGACCUCAUAAAGUGCGUCGUAGUCCGGAUUGGAGUCUGCAACUCGACUCCAUGAAGUCGGAAUCGCUAGUAAUCGUGGAUCAGAAUGCCACGGUGAAUACGUUCCCGGGCCUUGUACACACCGCCCGUCACACCAUGGGAGUGGGUUGCAAAAGAAGUAGGUAGCUUAACCUUCGGGAGGGCGCUUACCACUUUGUGAUUCAUGACUGGGGUGAAGUCGUAACAAGGUAACCGUAGGGGAACCUGCGGUUGGAUCACCU
rnacentral:rRNA from 1 species